GUGUAAAUUUUGAAAUGCAGUUUUUUAAACUUGCCAAAAAGAUCUUUUGCGUCUGCUGCUUGAUAACUGUUAUACGCCUGUGCAUUGUAUAACAGUUAGCUACCGUCAAGUGCUGCUCUACGAGCAGAUUUUUUGAUAACGGGUAUUCCUAGCAAUUGGGCAACAUUUGAAAAAAAAAGUUAACCAAAGUUUGUUUGCAAAGCUCUUCAUUCGCACUCUGUCUCCUUCACUUUCGUUCUCUCUUCUCUCUCUUUCUCUUUUGGUGCUUAGUCUUCCUGAACUUUUUCACUAUUCCUCGCUGCAUGGCGGCAUCGUUCGGCUCACGUUCGGCUGCCUUCGUGAGUCGUUCGUCAGUCGCAAGUUGCGAGCGCAUCGCCAUUCGACUGAACCGUUUCCGUAUGCAAACUCAUUUUAGCUUUUGAACUCAUUCAGUUCAAAUUUACCAGCGGAUUUGUGCGGAUUACAAAACACACACACACCCUCACACACACACACACAUUUACAUACAUACGCAGUCAUACAUAUGCCCUGAGCGAAACCGAAAGUCGCAUCAAGUGCCACACACAGACACAUAGAAACUUGCAAGCCGUCCUACAGUGCAUAUGUGCAAUAUUUGGAGAAGCAGUGCUUGAUGCAUACUAUAUAGUAUAACAGCAACAACAACAACCACAA